UACAGAGGGCUCAAGCGUUGUUCGGAUUCAUUGGGCGUAAAGGGUGCGUAGGUGGUGGGGUAAGUCGGAUGUGAAAUCCCGGGGCUCAACCCCGGAACUGCAUUCGAUACUGCCUUGCUCGAGUACUGGAGAGGAGACUGGAAUUUACGGUGUAGCAGUGAAAUGCGUAGAUAUCGUAAGGAAGACCAGUGGCGAAGGCGAGUCUCUGGACAGUUACUGACACUGAGGCACGAAGGCCAGGGGAGCAAACGGG
rnacentral:rRNA from 1 species